UACGGAGGGGGCUAGCGUUGUUCGGAAUUACUGGGCGUAAAGCGCACGUAGGCGGCUUGGUAAGUUAGAGGUGAAAGCCUGGAGCUCAACUCCAGAAUUGCCUUUAAGACUGCCGAGCUAGCAGGUGAGAGAGGUAAGUGGAAUUCCGAGUGUAGAGGUGAAAUUCGUAGAUAUUCGGAAGAACACCAGUGGCGAAGGCGACUUACUGGACACAUAUUGACGCUGAGGUGCGAAAGCGUGGGGAGCAAACAGG
rnacentral:rRNA from 1 species